CCCAGGAUUCUCCAGAGAAAAAUAAGAAUGUCCAGUUACCCACAAUUGGGGCGGGGGUGGGGGGACAUGAUGAAAAUGCCUAGUUACCCACAAUUCUCUAGGGGAACCAGAGAAAUCAAUUACCCAGAAUUCUUCCCAGGCAGCGGGGAGGGGAGGGAUUAGGGCAGGGGUCAGAUGUGUUCUUGGGAUGCUUAUGGGGAUUGGGUCAUUACCAAGAUUUCUCCAUGGCGGAUAUUUUGGAGCGCGUGGAAUUAAAACGAGUAGGGGGAGAGAAAGCGCCGUCACCUCCGCGGGAAAUUCCAGUUUCCCCAAUUCUCCCCCGCGCCUGACGCUCAACCAAACCCUAAGGCGGAAAGGACGUCGCUCUCCCAGUCAGAGCUUCCAAUCAGGAAGGGCGUGGGGCUCACCUAAGCCAAUCAGAAGGAUCCAGUAGUGUCCAGUGUAAUAGAAUGAGAAUGCAGGAUCUGAAACCAGAUUGCACUGGACUUCUGGACACUCAGCUCUGUGAUCUUGGGUAAAUUACUUAUCUCUGUUUCUUCAUCUGUAAUACAGGGAUAAUAAUAGUAACUACUUAAGUGGGUGGUUGUGAGAAUGAAAUGGGUUAAUACAUGAAAAGUGCUUAGACCAAGGACUUGGUAUAACAUGAGAGUUGCAUAUAUAUUAGCCAUCAUUACUAACUCCCUAGGGGUACCUCAACUGGAUUUGGAGUCUGAGCAUCCAACUGGAAAGGCCUGCUUAGGAGUGUCUUGUGAAUGUGAUUUGCAUAACGGUUGAGGCCCUGCUGACGUCAAGGGGUCACUACAGCUCCAGGUCAGAUCUAGUCCUGGAAGUAGCUCCUGCCACAGAACAGUCCCACAACAACCCCACCUACCUUGCUUCCUACCCAACUCUCGAAGCACCAGGAAGUGAAACAAAGCAGCAGAGCCCCGUGCCUCCAGCUCACCCUUGUCUCUGUCAUCCCAACCCCCAAGAGUCUACUUCCUCUUCCCUCUUUUACCUUUCAUCUCCUAUCCUUUAGGCCUCCCAGAAUGGGGCCACAUUUGGGAAGAAGACAGGAGAUAUUAAACACAAGUGAGGUGAGCUUCCCCUCCUUCCUCCCACCCCCAUUUCCUUAUUCCAUUUCUGUCUACCAUGUGUAGAAAGAGCCAAACUGUUUCCCACUCAAACUGAAAUAAUCGGUCCUGAUGCUGGGAACGUUCCAUCUGAAGGAUAGAUUUACCACAGAGACAAAAGUUUCAUUGGGCAGUUUUGAAUCGUUCUAAGGGAAGGGAGAAUUCUGUCAAGGGUAACUUUCUCAGAGAAGGGUCAGCCUCUUGGGGAGGCUUUCAGGACCAUCUGUGUGGUCAGCCAUGUCCUCAUUCUGACGUCCAAAUCAUUCUGGGACCCUCCACUGGGUUGGGGCAGUCCCAGAUUUGGACCACUCCCCACUCCCA
rnacentral:lncRNA from 1 species